rnacentral:tRNA from 1 species
CCCCAAGUAGCUUAAUGCUAAAGCACUGGCCUUGUAAACCAACAAUGGGUCUACAACCCCUGGGGCA